rnacentral:misc_RNA from 1 species
GAUGAAGAACGUAGCGAAAUGCGAUACGUAAUGUGAAUUGCAGAACUCAGUGAAUCAUCGAGUCUUUGAACGCACAUUGCGCCCCCUGGUAUUCCGGGGGGCAUGCCUGUCCGAGCGUCAUUGCUGCCCUCAAGCACGGCUUGUGUGUUGGGCCUCCGUCCUCCUCCCGGGGGACGGGCCCGAAAGGCAGCGGCGGCACCGCGUCCGGUCCUCGAGCGUAUGGGGCUUCGUCACCCGCUCUUGUAGGCCCGGCCGGCGCUUGCCGACACAUCAAUCUUUUUUCCAGGUUGACCUCGAAUCAGGUAGGAAUACCCGCUGAACUUAAGCAUAUCAAUAAGCGGAGGA